CUACCUGGUAGCACUCAAACACUGGCGGGGUUAUCUUUAGAAGAUGUCGGAAAAUCUACCAGUGAAAAACUGAAAUCAACGGAGCACCUGUAAGCCUCACAAAAGGAGUCAAUUAGUGAGAUGACACUCCGCUACAUUCAAGAUACAAAGGAAAGGAGAUCAGGAUGACUAAGAGGUGGAUAAGAAGGAGAACCUAGCUGCGACAGGGGACGACCCCACGCCUUCCUAGAGUUGGAACUUGUCCGCCGUGUGACUCCGCAGUCACAAGGAGACAGUUUGCAAGAACCCAACACAAUUUCAAAAGACCACCAACUAACUGACCUAACUUUGGCCGCCUGCCCUUCCUUCCUUUCCCGUCUCAGGCCUCGCAGCCUCCCGGUCCCGGAGCUGUGGGCUGGCGGAAUGGGGCUCAGAGUCCGGCGACCGCGGCCCAGGACCGGGCGGCUCCGCGGCGCGGACUCCCAGCCGGGGCUCCGGCUUUCUGCCCCGAGGGCGCCCAGCUUGGGGGCCUCCAGGCACGGCCCACACAUCAACGGCGUCCUCGACCCGGACCGCGGCCGCUGCGACGGAGAGCCCGGCUCCGCUCCGGGAGGAGGGGGCGCGAGAACUGCCCAAGCUGAUCCGAGGAGCCGGCGGCGGCGGCUCCCGGCGCGGCCUUGCGCUCCCGCCCAGGCUGCGGCCUAGGCGGCCCCGUUAGAUCUGUCCUCCACACGCGGCACAGCGGCACUGAGGGGCCACGCAACGAGAGAUGGAGGGUGGCGACGCCCCAAGGAGCCGCGGCCCGCCGUGGGGGUCCCGGCCCGGGGACGCCGCCCCCCGCCUGGCCAGCGCCAGAGAAUGGCUUUUACCUUCAUCAGCCUCCUGCUGGCCGCCAUCUUGGAUCUGGUGCUGCUGCUUUCCCAAAAUGCAUCGCGGUAGGCCAGGCGGCUGGAACCCCCUCACUUCCUGGAACGGGGGAGGGGCGAGCCGGGAAGAGCGCGGAACAGAGAAAUGUGCCUACUGUGUGCGGAUCCCAGUGCUGGAAGAGACCUGUGUAGACGCGAGGGACCUGGACAAUUAAAGACCUUUGCCUCGUGCAGCCUCCAGUCCGACGGAUAAUACAUACCGUGCCUGGCACGUAGUAGGUGAUACAUGUUGUGUAUACAAAAUAACUGAAUAAUCAAGACUAUUUUAGGCACUGCUAAACAUUGUGAAAAAGUAAAUCUGAAAAAUGAGAAAGUUACUGUGGGACUGACGAUAUAGUUGGUCAAGUGCCUGCGUGUGCAAGUAGGACCUGAGUUUGGAUACCCACAUAAAAAGCAAGCAUAGUCCCCUGCCUGUGUAGAUAGAUACAGGUGGAUCCCUGAAAUUCUUUGUCUAACUACUCUAAAUCAGAUUCAAGAAAACCAAUGAAGUGCAAGCAUGGAAAAGCAUGUGUGGACCUCAGUUCUGCGUGUGUGCGUGUGUGUGUGUGCCCACACUAACUUUCACACACAGCCUCCCACACACCAGUAACUACAAGGACCUACUUUCAGGAAGGCUCACUGAAGAAACUGAAUAAGAGAGAGAAGAGCAGCCAAACAUAAGUGGAUUAUGCCUUUAUUUCUGGCAUUUGGGAGGUGGAGUCAGGCAUGACUAGCCAGCCUAGGCUACAUAGUAUGACCCUAUCCACUGUCUCAAAAAUAGUAAUAGCAGCUGCCAGGAGUAGUGUCACACACUUGUAACCUCAUAAUUCUAACAGUCCAGGGAAUGAAGCAGAAAGAUCCAAAGAGAAAGAAACUACUAGAUGGUAACCCCCAGCAGUGCCUUUGCCAGUGGGGAGGUUUUGUUGAGGGAUACAGAAAUGUAGAUGAGGUCUCAUGUCACCCAGGGUGGCCUCAGAAUUCACUAACUAAGGUCUAACUAAAGAUGACCUUAACCUCCUGAUCCUCUUCCACCCUCAAGUGCUGAGAGUGCAUUUGAGUCACCUGUACUUCUCUAAGUAACUUCAAUAAACACACUAAAAGGAA